rnacentral:rRNA from 1 species
CCUACGGGAGGCAGCAGUGGGGAAUAUUGCACAAUGGGGGAAACCCUGAUGCAGCGACGCCGCGUGAGUGAAGAAGUAUUUCGGUAUGUAAAGCUCUAUCAGCAGGGAAGAAAAGGACGGUACCUGAUUAAGAAGCCCCGGCUAACGACGUGUCAGCAUCCGCGGUAAUACGUAGGGGGGAAGCGUUAUUCGGAUUUACUGGGUGUAAAGGGAGCGUAGGCGGGAGUACAAGUCCAGAGUGAAAUGCCGGGGCUUAACCCCGGAACUGCUUUGGAAACUGUGCAGCUAGAGUGCAGGAGAGGUAAGUGGAAUGCGUGGUGUAGCGGUGAAAUGCGUAGAUAUUAGGCGGAACACCAGUGGCGAAGGCGGCUUACUGGACUGCAACUGACGUUGAGGCUCGAAAGCGUGGGGAGCAAACAGGAUUAGAUACCCCUGUAGUC